GAAGAUCAGCCAUGGUGAUGAAGGCAGUGGAGGCUUCACUUCCCUAUCCUUCUGCAGGUUGGCUAGGCUCAACUAUUGUGCUCCUGGAAGCAGUGUCCGACGUCAAAAUCAGGAACCUAAACAAUUGGGCGAGGAUACGAACUCGAUUGCGGGGAUCUCAUUGUACCUAUGAUUUGGGCAACAAGGAUCCGGUAUGGCCGAGGUGGUACUAGUACUGUGAUUGCUGCAUGAUUGUUGUAUGUGUGAGACAAAAUCCGAUGUGGCUGAGGUGGUACCGGUACCAUGAUUGUCG